GACGAACGCUGGCGGCGUGCCUAAUACAUGCAAGUCGAACGAACUCUGGUAUUGAUUGGUGCUUGCAUCAUGAUUUACAUUUGAGUGAGUGGCGAACUGGUGAGUAACACGUGGGGAAUCUGCCCAGAAGCGGGGGAUAACACCUGGAAACAGAUGCUAAUACCGCAUAACAACUUGGACCGCAUGGUCCGAGUUUGAAAGAUGGCUUCGGCUAUCACUUUUGGAUGGUCCCGCGGCGUAUUAGCUAGGUGGUGGGGUAACGGCUCACCAUGGCAAUGAUACGUAGCCGACCUGAGAGGGUAAUCGGCCACAUUGGGACUGAGACACGGCCCAAACUCCUACGGGAGGCAGCAGUAGGGAAUCUUCCACAAUGGACGAAAGUCUGAUGGAGCAACGCCGCGUGAGUGAAGAAGGGUUUCGGCUCGUAAAACUCUGUUGUUAAAGAAGAACAUAUCUGAGAGUAACUGUUCAGGUAUUGACGGUAUUUAACCAGAAAGCCACGGCUAACUACGUGCCAGCAGCCGCGGUAAUACGUAGGUGGCAAGCGUUGUCCGGAUUUAUUGGGCGUAAAGCGAGCGCAGGCGGUUUUUUAAGUCUGAUGUGAAAGCCUUCGGCUCAACCGAAGAAGUGCAUCGGAAACUGGGAAACUUGAGUGCAGAAGAGGACAGUGGAACUCCAUGUGUAGCGGUGAAAUGCGUAGAUAUAUGGAAGAACACCAGUGGCGAAGGCGGCUGUCUGGUCUGUAACUGACGCUGAGGCUCGAAAGUAUGGGUAGCAAACAGGAUUAGAUACCCUGGUAGUCCAUACCGUAAACGAUGAAUGCUAAGUGUAGGAGGGUUUCCGCCCUUCAGUGCUGCAGCUAACGCAUUAAGCAUUCCGCCUGGGGAGUACGGCCGCAAGGCUGAAACUCAAAGGAAUUGACGGGGGCCCGCACAAGCGGUGGAGCAUGUGGUUUAAUUCGAAGCUACGCGAAGAACCUUACCAGGUCUUGACAUACUAUGCAAAUCUAAGAGAUUAGACGUUCCCUUCGGGGACAUGGAUACAGGUGGUGCAUGGUUGUCGUCAGCUCGUGUCGUGAGAUGUUGGGUUAAGUCCCGCAACGAGCGCAACCCUUAUUAUCAGUUGCCAGCAUUAAGUUGGGCACUCUGGUGAGACUGCCGGUGACAAACCGGAGGAAGGUGGGGAUGACGUCAAAUCAUCAUGCCCCUUAUGACCUGGGCUACACACGUGCUACAAUGGAUGGUACAACGAGUUGCAAACUCGCGAGAGUAAGCUAAUCUCUUAAAGCCAUUCUCAGUUCGGAUUGUAGGCUGCAACUCGCCUACAUGAAGUCGGAAUCGCUAGUAAUCGCGGAUCAGCAUGCCGCGGUGAAUACGUUCCCGGGCCUUGUACACACCGCCCGUCACACCAUGAGAGUUUGUAACACCCAAAGUCGGUGGGGUAACCUUUUAGGAACCAGCCGCCUAAGGUGGGACAGAUGAUUAGGGUG
rnacentral:rRNA from 2 species